rnacentral:miRNA from 1 species
GGAUGGUAACGGAACCCAUAAUGCAGCUGUAAUUUCAGAGGUCCAGCUGGUUAUGGGGUCCGUUUCCAUCCCACGACGCACAGAACAUCGGGAU